rnacentral:rRNA from 1 species
GACGAACGCUGGCGGCGUGCUUAACACAUGCAAGUCGAGCGGUAAGGCCCUUUCGGGGGUACACGAGCGGCGAACGGGUGAGUAACACGUGGGUGACCUGCCCUCAGCUCUGGGAUAAGCCUGGGAAACUGGGUCUAAUACUGGAUAUGACUCCACGGUGCAUGUCGUGGGGUGGAAAGCCUUGUGCGGCUGAGGAUGGGCCCGCGGCCUAUCAGCUU